GAUGAACGCUGGCGGCGUGCCUAAUACAUGCAAGUCGAGCGAACAGAUGAGGAGCUUGCUCCUCUGACGUUAGCGGCGGACGGGUGAGUAACACGUGGAUAACCUACCUAUAAGACUGGGAUAACUUCGGGAAACCGGAGCUAAUACCGGAUAAUAUAUUGAACCGCAUGGUUCAAUAGUGAAAGACGGUUUUGCUGUCACUUAUAGAUGGAUCCGCGCCGCAUUAGCUAGUUGGUAAGGUAACGGCUUACCAAGGCGACGAUGCGUAGCCGACCUGAGAGGGGAAUCGGCCACCCGGGAACGGAGACACGGUCCAGACUCCUACGGGGGGCAGAGGUGGGAAAUCUUCCGCAAUGGGCGAAGGCCGAACGGGGCAACGCGGGGGGGGGAAGAAGGGUCUUGGAAUCGAAAAACUCGGUAAUAAGGAAAGAACAAAGGUGAAGGUAACAAGGCACGUUUGAACGUUACCAAACAAGAAGGCACCGCCUAACUACUG
rnacentral:rRNA from 1 species